GAUGAACGCUGGCGGCGUGCCUAAUACAUGCGAGUCGAGCGAACAGACGAGGAGCUUGCUCCUCUGACGUUAGCGGCGGACGUGUGAGUAACACGUGUAUAACCUACCUAUAAGACUGGGAUAACUUCGGGAAACCGGAGCUAAUACCGGAUAAUAUAUUGAACCGCAUGGUUCAAUAGUGAAAGACGGUUUUGCUGUCACUUAUAGAUGGAUCCGCGCCGCAUUAGAUAGUUGGUAAGGUAACGGCUUACCAAGGCAACGAUGCGUAGCCGAACUGAGGGGGUGAUAGGCCACACUGGAACUGAGACACGGUCAAGACUCCUACGGGAGGCAGCAGUAGGGAAUCUUACGCAAUGGGCGAAAGCAUGACGGAGCAACGCCGCGUGAGUGAUGACGGUCUUGGGAGCGUAAAAAUCUGUUAUUAGGGAAGAACAAAUGUGGAAGUAACUAUGCACGUAUUGACGGUAACUAAUAAGAAAGCAACGGCUAACUACGUG
rnacentral:rRNA from 1 species